CCUGACUGCUAUCGGAUUGAUACUAAGCCAUGCUAGUCUUUGUAGUAAUACAAGGCAUACGGCUCAGUAACGCGUAGUCAACCUACCCUAUGGACGGGGAUAAUCUCGGGAAACUGAGCAUAAUACCCGGUAGACCACUUAUCCUGGAAUGGUUAGUGGUUAAAAUGAUUCGUCGCCAUAGGAUGGGACUGCGGCCUAUCAGCUUGUUGGUGAGGUAAUGGCCCACCAAGGCGAUUACAGGUACGGGCUCUGAGAGGAGAAGCCCGGAGAUGGGUACUGAGACAAGGACCCAGGCCCUAUGGGGCGCAGCAGGCGAGAAAACUUUGCAAUGUGCGAAAGCACGACAAGGUUAAUCCGAGUGGUUUCUGCUAAAGGAAUCUUUUGCUAGUUCUAAAAAUACUAGUGAAUAAGGGGUGGGCAAGUUCUGGUGUCAGCCGCCGCGGUAAAACCAGCACCUCAAGUGGUCAGGAGGAUUAUUGGGCCUAAAGCAUCCGUAGCCUGUUCUAUAAGUUUGCAGUUAAAUCUAUACGCUCAACGUAUAGGCUGCUGUAAAUACUGUAGAACUAGGGAGUGGGAGAGGUAGACGGUACUCGGUAGGAAGGGGUAAAAUCCUUUGAUCUAUCGAUGACCACCUGUGGCGAAGGCGGUCUACCAGAACACGUUCGACGGUGAGGGAUGAAAGCUGGGGGAGCAAACCGGAUUAGAUACCCGGGUAGUCCCAGCUGUAAACGAUGCAGACUCGAUGAUGCAAUGGCAUAGAGCUAUUGCAGUAUCGCAGGGAAGCCGUUAAGUCUGCCGCCUGGGAAGUACGUACGCAAGUAUGAAACUUAAAGGAAUUGGCGGGGGAGCACCACAAGGGGUGAAGCCUGCGGUUC
rnacentral:rRNA from 1 species